rnacentral:miRNA from 1 species
AAUACAGGAUGCCCAGUUAAAUUUGAAUUUCAGAUAAAUACCAAAUGACUUUUUAGUAUAAGUAUGACCCAUGCAACAUUUGGGACAUAUUUAUACUAAAAAUUUAUUCAUUGUUCAUCUGAAAUUCAAAUUUAACUGGGUGUCCUGUAUUUU